rnacentral:rRNA from 1 species
GCUUGUCUCAAAGAUUAAGCCAUGCAUGUCUAAGUAUAAAUAGUAUACAGUGAAACUGCGAAUGGCUCAUUAAAACAGUUAUAGUUUAUUUGAUAAUUGAAAAUUACAUGGAUAACCGUGGUAAUUCUAGAGCUAAUACAUGCUAUCAAGCCCGACUUCUUGAAGGGUUGUAUUUAUUAGACUUAAGCCAAUAUUCCUUGUGUCUAUUGCGAUGAUUCAUAAUAACUUUCGGAUCGAUUUAUCGAUGCAUCAUUCAAGUUUCUGCCCUAUCAGCUUUGGAUGGUAGGGUAUUGGCCUACCAUGGCUUUAACGGGUAACGGAGAAUUAGGGUUCGAUUCCGGAGAGGGAGCCUGAGAAAUGGCUACCACAUCCAAGGAAGGCAGCAGG